CCUACGGGAGGCAGCAGUAGGGAAUCUUCCACAAUGGGCGAAAGCCUGAUGGAGCAACGCCGCGUGGGUGAAGAAGGUCUUCGGAUCGUAAAACCCUGUUGUUAGAGAAGAAAGUGCGAGAGAGUAACUGUUCACGUUUCGACGGUAUCUAACCAGAAAGCCACGGCUAACUACGUGCCAGCAGCCGCGGUAAUACGGAGGUGGCAAGCGUUAUCCGGAUUUAUUGGGCGGAAAGGGAACGCAGGCGGUCUUUUAAGUCUGAUGGGAAAGCCUUCGGCUUAACCGGAGUAGUGCAUUGGAAACUGGGAGCCUUGAGUGCAGCAGAGGUGAGUGGCACUCCCUGUGUAGCGGUUACCUGCUUCGAUAUCUGG
rnacentral:rRNA from 1 species